GGGGAAUAUUGGACAAUGGGGGCAACCCUGAUCCAGCCAUGCCGCGUGUGUGAAGAAGGCCUUUUGGUUGUAAAGCACUUUAAGCGAGGAGGAGGCUACUUAGAUUAAUACUCUAGGAUAGUGGACGUUACUCGCAGAAUGAGCACCGGCUAACUCUGUGCCAGCAGCCGCGGUAAUACAGAGGGUGCGAGCGUUAAUCGGAUUUACUGGGCGUAAAGCGUGCGUAGGCGGCUGAUUAAGUCGGAUGUGAAAUCCCUGAGCUUAACUUAGGAAUUGCAUUCGAUACUGGGCAGCUAGAGUAUGGGAGAGGAUGGUAGAAUUCCAGGUGUAGCGGUGAAAUGCGUAGAGAUCUGGCGGAAUACCGAUGGCGAAGGCAGCCAUCUGGCCUAAUACUGACGCUGAGGCACGAAAGCAUGGGGAGCAAAC
rnacentral:rRNA from 1 species